GUCCCUGUAGCGCAAUGGAUAGAGCUUUGGACUUUUAAUCCUAAGGUCGUGGGUUCGAAUCCCACCUGGGAUG
rnacentral:tRNA from 1 species